GGAUGUGGCUCAGGUGGUGGAGCGCUCGCCUGGCGUGCGUGCGGCCCGGGCUCGAUCCUCAGCACCA
rnacentral:tRNA from 1 species